CGCUGGCGGCGUGCCUAACACAUGCAAGUCGUACGAGAAAGUCCGCUUCGGUGGGCAAGUAAAGUGGGCGCACGGGUUGAGUAACGCGUGGGAUAAUCUACCCUUUAGUCUGGGAAUAACUUCGUCGAAAGGGUGAACUAAUACCGGAUAAUAUCCUGGGUUUUCUCCGGAAAUUCGGGAUUCAAAGAAGGGCCUCCGCUUCGCAAGCUUUUCGCUGAAGGAUGAGUCCGCGUACCAUUAGCUAGUUGGUAGGGUAAUGGGCCUACCAAGGGCAUGAUGGUUAGCUGGGUCUGAGAGGAUGAUUCAGCCACACUGGGAAACUGAAAACACGGGUCCCAGAACUUCCCUAACGGGGAGGGGCAGCAGUGGAGGGAAAUAUUCGCGCCAAUGGGGGGGGCAAACCCCUCGAACGCCAGCAAACCGCCCGCCGUGGGGUGGAAGGGAAAGGGUUUUUUCGGGAAUUGGUAAAGCUUCUGGUCGAGGCGGGAAAAGAAAAUAAUAUGGGUGGGCUAAUAUCCACCAUGGUUUUUGAACGGGUACCCGCUAGAGGAAAGCACCGGCUAACUCCGUGCCAGCAGCCGCGGUA
rnacentral:rRNA from 1 species